CUCAGUGGUUUCGCUGCCUGCUGUGCAAGCUCAAGGACCUGAGUUCGAUCCCUGGUACCCCCCUCAAAAAAAUUACAGAGGGCUGCUUGAGGGGGAGAUGCAAGGCUGAGGUUGGGGUGUACUGGAACAGUGGAGAGGCUAGGCUUCCUAGAGGAGGAACACACGUUGAGUAGGUCUUGUUUGGGCACUAGAGGAGGAGACAUUUCAUCUAGCUAGGGGGAAAAUCUCAACCCAAGCCAUAGGUGACUGAUUUAAUUGGGGCAGAUGUACAAUGAACCCAGGAGAGGGACAUGUGGGCUCCACUGGAAGCUGGGAUCCAACUGUGAGGUAGGUAAGGGAGCUGCUGAGCUCAUAGAACUUUACCAUGAAGGUGCAGAGCGCUCUGAAGAAUGGAAUCAGAGAAGGGUGGGUGGAGAGGUCUAUCUCAGAAAUAUCCUCUAUCAGGAGGGAUGGACUGGACAGACUGAGAUUAGAAGCAAGAAGACCUGUUCAAAGCCAUGUAUCAAUAUGGAGGAGGAAGGACAAGGCCUGAAAGCAAUAUGUGAUUAUCCCUGUUAGUCACAUUCUCCAAAGACGACCAUUCACCUUUUCUACUUUUUAUGUUACCACUCUGCCAGUUUCCAUAUAUCUCACUGUCCUCCCCUCUUCUCAGCCUGCUUAAUGUCUCUCUUCUUUCUUUGACAUCCUACUGGCUGACGUUCUUCAAAGCUCAACCCAAAUCUUCCUUUUGUGUCUCCUGCAGUCUUUCCUUCAGCGAUCUCUUCCAUUCACACUGUGACAAUUUCAGGUUUAUUUUUCCAGACCUAGACUCCAAUGCACUAGAAUCCAAUCACUGGAGUCCAAUCGUUCUGGGAAUCUUGGAAAGAAAUACAUGGAGACACAGAAUUCAGAGACCAUCAAGAGGCUGUCCUGUGAAAGUAAACACAAACCGGACUCAGAAGAAUCAUGUUGCCACCUCUUCAUGCAGCAGUUUUCUAAAGUAAGUUCAUUGUGUAGAUAACUUCCUAUAACCACGGGGAGCCAGAGCUGGCUGGUUGAUGGGGAGAAAUUAAUGGAAAGCAAAGAGGCCUGAGCAAAGAUAGAAUGAAUGAGUACACCAUCGCCCCACAUAAGGGGUCAGACUAAUGCACUGAUGAAGUGAUUGGAAGUCUACUCACUCAAGACUAAAUAACUGACCUGGAUUGAAUGCACUGGCAGCCUGUGAGAAAUGCAGAUAUCAAGCUCACUGGGCAUCGUGCUGGGGAGUGUGUAGGGCCAUGGUUGCCUGGCUUGAAUGAUUCCCACCUUUCUAAGGCCGUUAAUGGUGCGUUCAAUUUCAAUUUAAG
rnacentral:lncRNA from 1 species